UACGGAGGAUGCGAGCGUUAUCCGGAUUUAUUGGGUUUAAAGGGUGCGUAGGUUGUUUUUUAAGUCAGCGGUGAAAGUUUGUGGCUCAACCAUAAAAUUGCCGUUGAAACUGGAAGACUUGAGUGUGUUUGAGGUAGGCGGAAUGCGUGGUGUAGCGGUGAAAUGCGUAGAGAUCGGGAGGAACACCAGUGGCGAAGGCGGCCUGCUGGACAGAAACUGACGUUGAGGCUCGAAAGCGUGGGGAGCAAACAGG
rnacentral:rRNA from 1 species